rnacentral:rRNA from 1 species
UGCAGUCGACGGCAGCGGGGGAGCUUGCUCCUGCCGGCGAGUGGCGAACGGGUGAGUAAUGCAUCGGAACGUGUCCUGUUGUGGGGGAUAACUGAUCGAAAGAUCAGCUAAUACCGCAUGAGACCUGAGGGUGAAAGCGGGGGAUCGCAAGACCUCGCGCGACAGGAGCGGCCGAUGUCUGAUUAGCUAGUUGGUGAGAUAAAAGCUUACCAAGGCGACGAUCAGUAGCUGGUCUGAGAGGAUGAUCAGCCACAUUGGGACUGAGACACGGCCCAGACUCCUACGGGAGGCAGCAGUGGGGAAUUUUGGACAAUGGGGGAAACCCUGAUCCAGCCAUGCCGCGUGCGGGAUGAAGGCCUUCGGGUUGUAAACCGCUUUUGUCAGAGACGAAAAGGGACGCACGAAUAAUACGUUCCGCUGACGGUAUCUGAAGAAUAAGCACCGGCUAACUACGUGCCAGCA